rnacentral:rRNA from 1 species
UAAUACGUACCGUACAAACGUUAUUCGGAAUCACUGGGCUUAAAGGGUGCGUAGGCGAUGCGGUAAGUUGGGUGUGAAAUCCCUCGGCUCAACCGAGGAACUGCGCCCAAUACUGCCGUACUCGAGGGAGACAGAGGUAAGCGGAACUGAUGGUGGAGCGGUGAAAUGCGUUGAUAUCAUCAGGAACACCAGUAGCGAAGGCGGCUUACUGGGUCUCUUCUGACGCUGAGGCACGAAAGCUAGUGUAGCGAACGGGAUUAGAUACCCCGGUAGUCCUAGCUGUAAACGAUGAGCACUUGGUCGGAGACUCCUCCAUAGGUUUCCGGUCGUAGCGAAAGUGUUAAGUGCUCCGCCUGGGGAGUAUGGUCGCAAGGCUG